UUGACCUCAAAUCAGGUAGGAUUACCCGCUGAACUUAAGCAUAUCAWUAAGCGGAGGAAAAGAAACUAACCWGGAUUCCCCUAG
rnacentral:rRNA from 1 species